rnacentral:rRNA from 1 species
UACGUAGGGGGCAAGCGUUGUCCGGAUUUAUUGGGCGUAAAGAGCGUGUAGGCGGUCCGGUAAGUCCGCUGUGAAAGUCGGGGGCUCAACCCUCGAAUGCCGGUGGAUACUGUCGGGCUAGAGUGCGGAAGAGGCGAGUGGAAUUCCUAGUGUAGCGGUGAAAUGCGCAGAUAUCAGGAGGAACACCUAUUGCGAAGGCAGCUCGCUGGGACGUAACUGACGCUGAGACGCGAAAGCGUGGGGAGCAAACAGG